GUGCCAGCCGCCGCGGUAAUACGUAGGGGGCGAGCGUUGUCCGGAAUCACUGGGCGUAAAGGGUUCGCAGGCGGUCUACCAAGUCCGAUGUGAAAGGCAUGGGCUCAACCCAUGUAAGCAUUGGAAACUGGUAGACUUGAGUUAAGGAGAGGUAAGUGGAAUUCCUAGUGUAGCGGUGAAAUGCGUAGAUAUUAGGAAGAAUACCGGUGGCGAAGGCGACUUACUGGACUUAAACUGACGCUGAGGAACGAAAGCGUGGGGAGCAAACAGGAUUAGAUACCCUGGCAGUCCACGCUGUAAACGAUGAGUGCUAGGUGUCGGGGCAACUCGGUGCCGCAGUUAACACAUUAAGCACUCCGCCUGGGGAGUACGUGCGCAAGCAUGAAACUCAAAGGAAUUGACGG
rnacentral:rRNA from 1 species